ACUCCUACGGGAGGCAGCAGUGGGGGAAGUCUUGGACAAUGGGCGCAAGCCUGAUCCAGCCAUGCCGCGUGAGUGAUGAAGGCCCUAGGGUCGUAAAGCUCUUUCGCCAGAGAUGAUAAUGACAGUAUCUGGUAAAGAAACCCGGCUAACUCCGUGCCAGCAGCCGCGGUAAUACGGAGGGGGUUAGCGUUGUUCGGAAUUACUGGGCGUAAAGCGCGCGUAGGCGGACUAGUCAGUUAGAGGUGAAAUCCCAGGGGCUCAACCCUGGAACUGCCUUUAAUACUGCUAGUCUUGAGUUCGAGAGAGGUGAGUGGAAUUCCGAGUGUAGAGGUGAAAUUCGUAGAUAUUCGGAGGAACACCAGUGGCGAAGGCGGCUCACUGGCUCGAUACUGACGCUGAGGUGCGAAAGUGUGGGGAGCAAACAGGAUUAGAUACCCUGGUAGCG
rnacentral:rRNA from 1 species